AGCCAAGCACCCAGUGCUGGUACAGCUCACCCCAGGAAAGUCCCCGCACCAUGGUGGUGGGGUGGAUGGAGCCCGGUGGUCCCUGAGGUGGGGCACAGGAGGUGACACUGCAUGGCCACCAGCAUUGUCCUGCCGGGGGACCGGCCACGUGUCUUCUAUUUUCGGUGGUGGCACGCCAGGAGCCCGGGACGCGCCGUCUGGGCUGUUCGCCUCCUGCGGGUUUCGUAUUGCCGGACACACUUGCUCCAUGCCCAAAGACACUCAAGCGGUUAAUUACGACCUAGAGCACUGAUGGAUCACAUCACCGCUAUUUUUAGCGCUCUCACUUCUGGUGCGAGGCCCGCAUCUAUCUCUUUUUGGCCUUUUAUUUUCAGUUUCUCGUUGCUGUUUCCUAAACUCGUCUCAGCACCAGGCUGAACUGACCUUGGAGUAAAAUUCUUGAGUACUGAGGAAGAGGGAUGAGAGCCUGGACUCACCAAUCCUCCAGCCUAACGAAUGUAGUCAUCGUACCGGUUAUAAGAAAGGUGAUGGGAAGCUUUGGAAACUGAAGAUGAUCUGACAAGGAAGGUAAAACUGGCCAAAUUAUAUUUUUAUUCUCACUGGCUUAUGCAGAAUCUGUCCCUCAGGCCCCUGAGUGCUGUGAGCUCCAGCAGUGACCAGGUAUUUAGCUGGCAGGUACUGUGGGAGACAGACAUCCAGCAAAGCAUUCACGCGUGUGCCCAUUGGAAUGGCAUCCGAAAACACGGCUCAGCAAACUUGCUGUCAUUUGGGAAACACCCCAGCUCAACAGGGAAGUUUUGCCAAGAAAGAGUUUAAAUGCUGAAGAGAAGGAUGGAGUUUUUUGGCAUGUAAUUACAUUUGUGAUCAGGCUUGCAGUCAUUUUUCUAAAUAUGUCUCUUGGCAUUGUGUGACUGAAAGAAAAUCUGGGGCUUGGGUGGUUCUUUAAUGGUUUCUUACCAUUACUGUAAUGAAAACCAUGCUCAGACGUUAACAGUAAAAGGUCACUGGCAGGGAACUUGUUGCACCUCAGCACCCUUGAGGCUUCAAAUACACCAGGGACUUGUAGUUCUCAGCAUGUGAACAGUCAGGGCCAGCUCUGCCUCCUUCGCUUCCCUCUCUCCUGCACACAAGAAGCUGUGCUUUGCGUCAUUUAAGAGAGGUUUCAGCUCUUUUGGCUGGAGACCGGCCCAGGAGAUAUGUGCAGCUCCCAGAAAAGCCCAGGACAGGUACCAGCCCCCCUCCCGGAUCAACAGCCAUCUGCAGGCCAGGGCUGUGGGUCCUGGGCUACAGCGUAGGGCUUAAAACAUCCCCCCUCAGGUAUUUUUUAUCACUCUUUACCACAGCAGGUCUUUGUAUAUUUAUUGACAGUUGGUAAAAGCAAAGCUUUUGUACCCAAGCACCUCUGUUCUCCUCUUCAGCUCAGCCCUUGCAGCCCAGCCAGAGUGAGGGCGAGCUGGAGCACACCAGGCCCCGCAGCUCGCUUGUGCUCGGCUCUCUUCAGCCAGACCAAAACCUUGGAUCCAGCUGCCCGAGAAUGGUGGUGAACUUUGGAUCUGAGCUCCUGUAAUAAGUACUUGCUUGCCCUGGCUGUUGGCUUAAAACUCUGUGGGGAAAAAAAAAAAAAAAAGUGUUUCUAGGGAUUAUGUCUGAACUAAGAGUGCCAGUUGAAAGGAGAACCGUGUCCAGCCAACCCUUGUGUCCAGCUCAUGGGCUUCUCAGGGGAAAUGAGUGACUAGAAUGAGACAAUGAAUGAGAUAAAUAGCAUUUAACUGGUAUUGUAAUGAACCUUGAGCAGUCUGCCUGUGUGCAGAACCUGCAAUUUAUCUCCACGGCCGUUCUGUGAGUUUUUAAAAGAGGCUGAGAAUUAUUCACCAAAUCCCCUGAAGGACGACUGCCCAGUGGUCUCCUUUGAAAGUCCCAGCCAUGUCCCACUGUGGAGAUAGAGCUCCAGGUUAAAUACACCAUAGAAAGGCUUGGAUUACUUUGUGAAGGGCAGUAGCAUGCAGGAGGAUAGCAAUCAAUGUUGUGUGUCAGUACCAGGCAGCUGAGCACGAAGCGAUGAGGCUCCGCUACUGCUCCCUGGGCAGCAGGGGUGGCUUUUGGCCCUGCUUGGUGCUGCCCGGCUGCUGGUGGCAGGGCUGCCAGCAGUGGGCUGAGAUGGGUGGAAAGAGGAACACUUCUAUGGACACAAGGCAUCUCUGCACGCUCACUUCUCCUUCUCUUCAGCCUCUAGGAAGCCUCUUAGAGAGUGCUGCAAAAAGCAGAACAUGCUCAGUCCCUCCCCUAGGCCAGUGUGCACCUAACCCAAGCUGCGCCUCCAAUUAACACCUCCACGGAUGAGGCUGGGGAAGAUCAGUGGGGCUUUGAUUUAAUAAUUUCCUUACAGAUGUUGUCUGCUGAAAGCUGGAAGGGAGGGUCUGAUUGAAGGCCAUGCUCUAAUUAAAUCCCAAUUCUGCCACCAGCCCCAAGGUCCUGGGUGACACAGCCUGUGGUGUCCCCAUCCCCAAGGAUGGGCUGGGAGGAGGACAAAUGGGACGGUGACAUUACCACGAGGGAGUCAGGGCACAGUUGCCCCACUUGCAAAUGUUCUUGCAGGCUUGUAGAGGACAGAAACACGUUUGCAAAUAUGUGGUAUUUGCCAACAAAAUGAGAUUGCUUAACAAGUAAGAAGGAGGAAAAAAAAUGAAUGCAAAAGUAAUAGAAGACAUAGCCAAAGGCUUAGGCCUACAAAUGGGAUUUUCUCAAUUUUUAAAUCUGGCUGGGGUCACUUUCCAGUCCUACAUGAGGAAUAACACAAUUUUCACCUGCUACGUAAGAUUCAGCUAUGGUGUGUCUAGGGGGCUGUGAAGAUUAAUGGUGUUUGUGCCAUACAGUAGACUUUUACCAGAUAGCAGUGGAUUUCCAGGAAGGGAGGCAUUUCUUAAGCCACCGCGGAGAGCUCAGCACAGCCCACUAAAUAAGCCGAUGACUCCCUUGGCUCCGCUCCUCAGGGCAUUUCUUAAAGUGCAGUCCUGGAGCACAGUGUUCUUAAAUCAAAGCACAAAAAUAACCAAAACAGUAUCAAGUGAAUUGUAAGAGCUGGCAGAAUGGCGGUAAUAAACAAGGUUAAAACAGUCCGAUAACAAUAUCCUGUUACAGGAGAAGAAUUACCAAUAUUCUGUAAUGGUGAAAUAUCAAACUUCCUGGUGACAAGGCAUCGAUUUUCCCAAAAAGGAAAGCGAGAACAAGCUGCAGCAGUAAUGCAGCAUGUGUGAGCACAGAGAGGGGAUAGCUAUGACAACACUGAAUAAGUAUCUCAUCUCCAAGAGCUCGAGCUCUGUGACCUUUAGCAGUGUUCGGGAUUGUAUGUCUGUUUAGGAUGUCAUUAAACAUGACAAGCUUCCUCCAAAUGAAUAGUGCGUAGAAGUAAUUGGAGCAGUUUGAAGGGCCAGAUUCCUAACUAGCUACUUAACUAACUUGGAAAAGCUACACGUCAUUAGGAAACCCAACACAAAAAUCUAGUUUAGCAAAAUUUAGUUUUGGAUAAUAGCUCUUUACCCCGUGUUCAAGUUAAUAACCUGGUUUCCAUGACGGGCCUAAUAGAGGGGAUGGUCCUGUGCUGGUCCCAGUGCUUGGUGUGCCAUGGAGCUGAGGGCAAGUUACACAUGUCCACAAGGUAAAUUUAGAUCAUCUGGAAUAGCCCUUAGGAUCCAGGUAGUUUAUCUCAUGCUGAGUAGAUGGCUAUGUGAUCGCUGACAGCUUUGCAGACCUCUGAAAGAGGGAGGGAUUGCAGCAGCCACUGGGACUCAACCCGAGGUUUAGUACUCUAAGGGUGGUGCUAUAAGCAUGUCUCUUGUGGCCGGGUAAGUUAUGAGUGGCAUUUGAAAUCCACUUUACAGAGUAGAAUAAAGAGAGUGAAGAAUUGUAAGGUAGCUUGAAGACUGACAUUAAUUACCCAGUAAUUUUCUAGCUGUGAUCCAUGAAGUACUUGUUGCUGAUCCCCAGACAGAUGGCUAGUCACAUAGGACGGGCUUCUCCUCUUUAUUUCCAUCUGCUAUAUUUCAUUAAGACAGCUAAAAAUAAAAAUAUCCCUAAUGUUAUUUUUCCAUGCAAGCUACUGCUAGAGUGAUUUGAUGCAACUGUGACUAGAAGAGUUUCCAAGAGACAAGAUUUUCUUAAUUAAUUUGUGAUCCUUGGCAUAAAAAUUGACUGAGAACCCCUACACAAGACUUAUCAUGAGAGCUACACUUUCUUCUAAGUGCUAUAUAUCUAGAAGAGUUGGUUCAAAACAGCUUCUCUGAUGUAAGGGGAGUAAAGACACAGCUGUCCCUUCUGAGCUGAAGUUCCCAUUUUUGCAUUCAAACCAGUUGUAGAUGGUGACUGCAGAAUGGAGAUGUAAUCAGGGAGAUUCUUCAGGCAUGAAGUCUUUUAUUCCUCUGUGUAGUAGGAAUAUCUCCAGAAGCAGCUGUUCCUCACAGCUCCAAGCUUCUUUUCAGCCAGCACAGUGCCCCAAAGUGUUGCGCAGGUUGUUUUGUUCUGUCUUUUAUGGAUUGUUUGCUCUAUCUAAUGUGUCUUUGCGUGGUAAAGCUGGAUUCUUGCACACACAGCUCUACUAACUCCAGUGUUUAGUUUCUGGACUUAGCUAACACUUGCUGUCCAGAAUUGAAGGUGAAAUCUGGGACUGAUACGUUAGGCCUGGGCUAUUUUUAUUCUUCACUACACAAGUCAUUGCCAUAGUCCUCCUGAAUGCUGAUCACAGAUGCUUACAAGAGAUCAACUCUAUUACUUCACCCUGCUUUCAAAAGCCUAAAGAAAGCAAGCUAUUUUAAACAGCACAACCCAAAGCACCACCAGUACUACGUCUCAGUGACACUGCCUACAACACAGAUGAGAACCUUUGUUCCUACCCCUCCUUUAUUAGUUGCUUCUGCUUAGAAAAACAAGCAAUUUCCUCACCCUCCUGGCAACGUUCCCAUGAGGAAAUUCCUCCUCCCAAGCCACAGCCACGGAGCCACUCACACAAUCCCUCCUUCUGUCGGAUCACGCUGUUUUCCCAUUUGCCUGGGCUCUGGCCACGCACCCCAGCCCAGGAGAACCUUUGGCUCCAUUCUUGUGCCUGUUCUUCCUCCUCCAAGAGCCUUUAUUUGAGUUCCACCCUAAGAUCACACUGACUUAGGCCCCAGUUUAGCAAGGAAUUUUAUCACGUGCUUACGUGUAAUUGACUUAGACCUUCAAUCUGUUUUUAGCUUAUCAGAGCCAUGGGUGGGUAAAGCCACCCGUCUGCGCACUCCUGACGCCCACGGAGGUUGCCUGUUGACACCGUUGAGUGAAGAGCGCACGGGCCUAAAACUGAGCAGAAACUCAGAUAAGGAGGACUGCUGAGCUGGACUCCAUCCAGCAUGGUGGCACAUCUUUUAAGACCUAAUUAUCUCCACACAACACUGCGGAGGUGUCAGCACCAUGGCUGUGACACACUGCAGGUUAUUGGGUGCUUCGACCGCAACUCGCCACUGGUGUGUAGUAACCAAACUUGGGUAGUCUGUGCUCUGCUCAGACUUCAUUUUGGAUAUCAGCAGCUUUUCCUGCCCUAAGUCCUGAGUAAGGACUUUAGGAGUAAGCCUUAAACUUUGGAUCAGAGAAUGUGUCUAAUUUUGGCAAAAAGCAAUGAGUGCCUCCAGCCCAGAAAAAAAUAAAUAAAAAUCCAGUAAUAUUAGAUCCAGUAUUUUAUUCUACUUAAACCACAGUGAAGUUUGACACAGAAGCACCUAAUUUUCCUGCAGGGCCCCAUCACAUCAGUACAAGGCCUACAGACAAUUGCAAAAGAAGUGGAAAGACGCCCUGGAUUUCACUUGGCCCCUUAUAACUUUUACCUUCAAAGUCUGGCAUAUUUAAUUCAGAUCAUAUAAAAAUUCCAGUGGUGAAGGGUGGGGAAAAUUGAAUGUUGAAUGAAGACUUUUGUUUUCCGGAACAGAGCUGAAAUGAAGAAGAAGCUGGGCUGUGACGAUCAGAUUUCUGCUAUAGGUCAGAAGUUCAGUGUAUCAUCAGAUUUCAUGUCAUGGGGCUGUUCUGUUCCUAAUUGCAACCAGCCAGGACCCAGCCCAUUGGUGAGCUUUUACUCUGUGCUCCUUCCAUAAGAUAUAUACUGUAGUCAAAGUAGUAACUAAAUCAUUUUAAUUGUAUUUUAAAAGCAAAUCAUUACCUUUCAACUCCACAACACAGCAGAAAAUGAAAAGCCAUGCUGGCUUACAGUCAUGUAAAAUAUAAAAGCCAAUACUGGAUUGUUGCCGCAGCAAGUUUAUUUUGCACAAAUUUAAUACAAGCAUUCAGCUAUAAAGCUCUGGUAGCUGUGAUCUCUGAUUUGAAGGUAUCUGGAACCUCAUGGUGAGAGGAGCCAAAAGCCCCAAGAAACCGGUCCAAGGGCCCAGACCCCAACCCCACGGAUUGGGUGGGGAUGUGUGAAAUACGGCUCAGCUGGGCAGAGUUGGUGCAGUAGGAGAGAAGGGACCUGUGCAAGCAGCACCAGGCAGUACAAGUCCUGAGUGAUCCCACUACAUAACUAAAUUAAUGAUUUAUACGUCUCAGGGGGAGCAGCUAUAGCUACAUCUGAAGUUGAAAUGAAAAACAGCUUAGCACUUAGCUGAUGAUCGACUUUUUGAAUAAUUUAAAUUGGUCAGAGACAUCCAGGGUGGACUUGUGUAACCUCCUAUGGACAUCCAUUCGUCUGCAGAAUUAAAGGAGACAGCGUGUGAGUUGUUUGGGCAGCUGCAUCACAAUGCUGCAACAACAUUAAAUUAUGACAGAGAAACAUGGGCUGUUAUGCAAGGAUGAUGUGGGACCUCGACUAAGAGUCAGGCUGGGGUAUCUCAAGUUAAUCCAGUAACUAACAAAAAUGAAUCUACCAUUCCUAAAAUGACUUUGCAUCAUGAGUGUCUUCUGCAGAGCACCUCUUACUGCACUUCUGCUCUCUCAAGCUUUUGGAAACCCCUGUCUCAUGUGGUGAUAGAGUCUUAGAGAAGUUUUAUUCUUCCUAUGUCCAGGACAGACCAUCUUGUGACCUGCACCACAUCCUCUCCUUAAUAAAUCAUCUUCUAAACCUUUUCAUACUGAAAAGAGGGCAUUCACAUGUUUCAUUGUAUUCUGGUUUCCCUGGUUGGGAAGAACGAGGCUCUUGCUGGUGCUGCAGGACAGCUUGGAGAUGUAGGCACUGCCUCAGGCUGGGGAGCAGCGCCAGCCAAGAGGAGCAGGACUGCCUAGAAGACACGUCUGUAUUCCUCAGAUGCUCUGCAUUGCUCUUAAAGCCAAGAAACCUGAAGCUGCGGUGGCAAGUCAGACUUCCUCUCGAGAUGGAGUCGAGGCAGGCUAAUUUUAGCCACCAUGCGCUAUGCAAAUCACCGCUCUGUAGCUGGGUUUAUUUUUUAAAGCUCUGACUGCCAAACUGGCUGCAGGGCACAGACUUCACGUGGGUCUUGGAGGUUUGAAACCGGCUCUUUGGUUUCUGGUGCUGCCUUUCAGAUGGGGGCAAUGUGUGCUCAGAGAGGCAGGCUAGAAAGCACUCUUUCAGUAGGGAAGGUCUAGAUGACCGGGUUAGAUCAUGCGUUGCCUUUCUAGCUGGCUGGAAUUAGCUCUUGGUGCUUUUGUGGUCCUACAUGUAAUUUUUCUUUUUCCUUGAAAACUCCCCUGAUAAGCCACACACUGUGGGCCUGCCAGAGAUGGUGGGAGUGCUGGUGUGGACCUUCCUGGUAACUGGACCAUGCCCAAUACCAGUAGAUAAAGGAAGCACAUCUCUAUUGGCUUCUAGGUGUAUCCUCUAAAUGUUUGGAACAUGCAUAGAGUUUACUUUAAACUGUGGCUGAAUGUGAUUUCCUAGGAAAGAAGCAUUUCUUAAAAAAAUUAUUAUUAGACUGUGAUUCAUGGCACUCAUUUAAAAGACAGAGGCAGAUAUGGGGAAGCGAGGCGGGAUACGCUUCCAGUAAGCCCAGGCUUUAGCACAGGCAGUAAAUUGUUACAUUUCUCUUCAAUAUUAAGAAGAUUUAGCACACAGAGUUUCAUCUGAUAGCUUUCACAAUGUCUUUAUCAUGAGCCAUACUGUGACUGAGUUGUAGUUUGUAUCUAAAAGAAACAAUUCUCUAUUAUUUCAUAUCUACAUGUCAUAGAUAGCUUCAGAAAGUUUGCUCUCUCAGCUUUAAGAACAACCACUUCCCUGCUUGAUGCCUUACCCAUAACUCAAGCAGGUCUGCAUGGAGCAUGGUUUUGAAAGGCACUUUGAAUCCUGGACUCCAAAUGAGGCAGGCAAGCA